CAGAUCUCCCAGGCCUCCCUCGACGAGAACCUCCUCAGCCCUCGCCAUCCCUCCCCCGCGCGCGAUCAGCAGGCAUACAGAAAAAGUUUGUGCUCGUAGAGACCUCUCUCCAGCAAAUUCUUAAGGGACAAGACGAUCUCAAGGUGCUCUUUGAAGGC